rnacentral:lncRNA from 1 species
GUCAGCGAUAAAAAGGAAUGCUGGUUUACCUCGAGACUACAAUUAAAAAAUAGCUUUUCUUUUAUUAAGUACAAAGCGAUGGUCAUGUGAGAGUUAUGGUAAAGUCUAUUGAAGAAUACAGGAAACUUGUUAAAACUCUUACUAAAGAUUUUGUCAAAUUUCACACAAACCAACUUAAACAUGAGAGGGCAUUCAGAGCUGUUAUUAAGAAUUUGCACUUCUCAACGGAUAUCGACAUAAUCAAACAAGAUGUUGAGUCCAAAGGUCACGCUGUUAGAAACAUUAGUAAUAUUAAAAGUCGUGUAACCAAAGAGCCAUUGAAUUUGAUCUACUUAGACAUUGAGCCCAACAAUAAGAACUUAGAUAUAUACAAAGUUAAACUCAUUGGUAACGCAGUUUUUAAUAUAGAACCACCCCGUAAAACCAAAGAAAUCGUUCAGUGUUAUCGUUGCCAGGAAUUUGGACACACAAAGUCAUGUUGUGCCAAAACUCACAAAUGUGUGAAAUGCUCUCUUAACCAUCCCAGCAACGUUUGCCCAAAAGAUAAAGAGCAACCAGAAAAAUGUGCCAACUGCAACGAAGAUCAUACUGCUAGUUACAAAGGGUGUAAAGGCUAUCAGGAUCUUAUAUCAAAACGUGAAGGGAGGUGUGAGACGCUUCUUACGCGUCACAACUUUUAUACCCGGCACUCAGGACUACAUCUAGAUGUAGACGACAUCGCCAAGCACUAGAUAUCGUUCACAUUACAGAACACGUAGUAAGAGCCUACUAAAUAAAAUGCAUCAAACAAAUUGGAUCAGUUAAUAUUUUCCAAUUUAUGAGAUAUUUAAAACAGCAAUAAAGUUGGUACAUUCUUGGACCGAUAGGUUUCACAGCAAAUUUUUCGAGAGUGGCGCCAUCUAUGAAAAUUUCUUGUACGCAACUUUGAUGGUCCAAUGGUCUGCACAUUCUGUGCAAUAAUGACCGAUAGGUUUCACAGUACGCAACUUUGAUGGUCACUCUUUUUCUAAUACAGAGCGUUAAAAACCGAGUCUUUGUUAAAAGUCGGAAGAGUCAACGCCAGGGGGUGGGCAGAGGCAGGGGCCGAGUGAAUCAGAAGCAGAGUGUGAAUGAGAGAAUGUAAAAAGAACAACAAAAGCUGCUGGACAGGGUGGGUUUAGCCACAGGAAAUUAGUUUCUCCAUUGUGGCUAUAAUAAGGAUCCGAUCGGAUCUUAAUUUGGCGAUCUGAUAGAUAUGGCAAUUUCCUACGGAAUUUAGUUUUCUUUUAUAUUCAAAACUGUAGAUUUUGGAGGUUUUCGCCCUUUUGCGGGGGCGGAAGGGGGCGUGGCUCAUUUUUUAAAUACACUGAUUUCAGUGUGAGCAUACAGCAGUCUGGUGGCUCUAGCUCUUAUAGUCUCUGAGAACUAGCCGACAAACAAGACGGACUCGGCUAUUGAUGCUGAUCAAGAAUAUAUAUACUUUAUGGGGUCGGAAACGCUUCCUUCUGUGCGUUACAUACAACCGUUAUUCGCACAAAUACAAUAUACCCUAUUUACUCUUUGAGUACCGGGUAUAAAAAUGACCAUGGUACAUAUCAAUCAUUUGCUCCGUUUAAUAAUUCGACCCAACAACCCAAAGAUUACCAAUCAUACGCUCAAGAUGCUGCAGGAAAUAGUACCUCGAACAAGUCUCUAGAAGAAUAGAACAGCCUUUAGAAAAACAAU